rnacentral:rRNA from 1 species
GGCGAGCGAACAGGGAAGAGCCCAGCGCCGAAUUCCGCGUCUCAAAGGGCGUUUGGAACAUGUGGCGUUUAGGAGGAAUCUCUCCGAGGGCAGACGGUGUCGCAAGUCCCCCUGAACGGGGCUGUGAUCCAGAGCGGGUGCGAGGCCCAUAGCUGGUACCGUCUCCUUUGGGUGUCCCCUCCUUGGAGUCGGGUUGCUUGGGAGUGCAGCCCUAAUUGGGUGGUAAACUCCACCUAAGGCUAAAUACGUCCGUGAGACCGAUAGCAAACAAGUACCGUGAGGGAAAGUUGCAAAGAACUUUGAAGAGAGAGUUCAAGAGUACGUGAAACCGCUCAGAGGCAAACGGGUGGGCCCACGAAAGCCGAAGGCGGGGGGAUUCAGUCGAGAGGACGGUGGGGCAGGACUGGCUGGUUGGACGGACCGUGCCAGGCCGGGUCAGUUCCCGAGAUCUGCCGCCUUUCGACGCAUUUCCCCCUGCUUAGUAGGACGCCGCAACCGGUUGGCGCUGCAGCCAUAAGGGAGAGUAAAUGGAAGGUAGCCAGUGAGUUCUUCUUCGGAGGCGCGAGCUGGUCCUAAGCCGACUCUCCUGGUGCUUGUGGCCCGACCGUGGUCGUGAGUCCCUCAACGGGAUGUCGCCGAGCCCUCUGACUGGAGCGGGAGAAGUGGCAGGCUGCUUUCCGCGGAAAAAAUCGAUCGCUUCACGCGUGCAGUGGGCGAUCUCCGGAGGUAGCUGCUGGUGCGUUUUUCUCCUGCGCUGGGCACAGGCAGUUGGCGGCGAGUAGGUCGGUCACCCACCCGACCCGUCUUGAAACACGGACCAAGGAGUCUAACAUGUGCGCGAGUCAUUGGGUCUUGAACAAGCCCAAAGGCGCAAUGAAAGUGAAGACCAGCACUGAAGCUGGUGGAGUUGGGAAACUGCGUCACUGAAGAUGCAGUUGCACCAACGGCCCGUCCCGUCCGCAUCGUCGGUGGGGCGGAGCGAGAGCGUACACGUUGGGACCCGAAAGAUGGUGAACUAUGCCUGGGCAGGACGAAGCCAGAGGAAACUCUGGUGGAGGUCCG